UGGGAGAUAUUGCACAAUGGACGCAAGCCUGAUGCAGCCAUGCCGCGUGUAUGAAGAAGGCCUUCGGGUUGUAAAGUACUUUCAGCGAGGAGGAAGGGAGUGUGGUUAAUAACCGCAUUCAUUGACGUUACUCGCAGAAGAAGCACCGGCUAACUCCGUGCCAGCAGCCGCGGUGAUACGGAGGGUGCAAGCGUUAAUCGGAAUUACUGGGCGUAAAGCGCACGCAGGCGGUCUGUCAAGUCGGAUGUGAAAUCCCGGGCUCAACCUGGGAACUGCAUCCGAAACUGGCAGGCUAGAGUCUUGUAGAGGG
rnacentral:rRNA from 1 species